AUAUACCGGUUCCCGUACGAUCACCGAAGUUAAGCAACGUCGAACCUGGUCAGUACUUAAAUCGGUGACCGCUUAUGAAUACCAGGUGUUGUAAG